GCUGGGCACUGUGUUGUAUGCCUGUAAUUUCAGCUACUCAGAAGGCUGAAGCAGGAGGAUCACAAGUUCCAGACCAACCUGGGAAACUUAGCAAGACCUUAUUUCAA
rnacentral:sRNA from 1 species